ACAACUUUAACUUAAUAUCCUCUUAACAAAUUAUGCGUAUUUAAUUUUAAAAUUCUGAUUGAGAAAAUGAUACUCUCGAAAUUUUUUGGGAUUUCAUCCUUAUAGUGUCAUUUAGUCUCGUAUAGCAUUAUAUAGUGCUGUAUCACUAGGCUUUUAUAAAAUUGUAUAGUGUUGUAUAGCCCUUGUUGUAAGUUGAUUAAUAAGUUGACCUGCUAACAAUAUAUGUAGUUUUUGACAGUUUUUUGUAAAAAAAAAAUACAGACAGAUGGAAUAUAUAAUAGUUUUAUGCACUUGCAUUAUUAAUAGUGUUAUAGUACAUAAUAAUGAUGUUG